UAUAAAUAGGCAUCCAAGCCUAAAGUUGUAUGCAGUUUAUGAUGAUUUAAUAAAAGGAGUUUUCCAGAAGAGGUUUUGAUAAACCACUGAGAAGAGUAUUCUCAAACCCUAAAGAGGUUUUUAUAAACCACUGUGAAGAGUAUUCACAACCCCCUAAGAGCUUUUAAUUAAGCACUGUGAAGAGUAUUCACAAACCCUAGAUUCGUGUAUUCUUGGAAUAAACGGAUCUAGUUCUAUCCCUAGAAGCUUCCGCUACAUCAGUUGGUAUCAGAGCCUGGUUCUUUUGAUUUCUCAAUCGAAGACGAUUCUGGAUGUCAUGGUGAGUAUGAGCAUCUAUCCUAUCAGGGCUGCGUUCGUUAACUUCGUUUGAUCAAGAUUCGAGGACGAAUCUUCUCCAACCCGGAGAAAAUGAUGCAGAGAAUAUUUGGAUAUAUUCCAAAUAUUAUUAUUUAUUAAUAGAAUAAUUAUGUUAGGGUUUUAAUGGUUUUCCUAUUUUAAAUUAUACUAGGGUUUUCUAAUUUUAGUGAUUUAUUAUAAAUAGGCAUCCAAGCCUAAAGUUGUAUGCAGUUUAUGAUGAUUUAAUAAAAGGAGUUUUCCAGAAGAGGUUUUGAUAAACCACUGAGAAGAGUAUUCUCAAACCCUAAAGAGGUUUUUAUAAACCACUGUGAAGAGUAUUCACAACCCCCUAAGAGCUUUUAAUUAAGCACUGUGAAGAGUAUUCACAAACCCUAGAUUCGUGUAUUCUUGGAAUAAACGGAUCUAGUUCUAUCCCUAGAAGCUUCCGCUACAUCACCGAUCAUGCAUAUGCUUAUGAAUGUCAUCUUGAUGACAUAUCUUGGGAUUCAAAUCUUUAGAUUCUACUUCAGGUGCACCCAUUGCGAUGCAGAGCUGACAAUGAAGACUGAUCCAAAAAAUUCAGAUUGUAUUGCAGAAUCUGGGGCAACU